GACGUAGGGGGCGAGCGUUGUCCGGAUUCAUUGGGCGUAAAGCGCGCGUAGGCGGCUGCGCAAGUCGGUUGUGAAAUUCCGGGGCUCAACCCCGGAACUGCGUCCGAUACUGCGUGGCUAGAGGUAGGUAGGGGAGAUCGGAAUUUCUGGUGUAGCGGUGAAAUGCGCAGAGUAUCAGGAGGAACACCGGUGGCGAAGGCGGAUCUCUGGGCCUUACCUGACGCUCAGGCGCGAAAGCUAGGGGAGCGAACAGG
rnacentral:rRNA from 1 species